GAUUCUGACAACUCAAUUAUGAUUUUUUCAUAUUGACGGAGAGAUAUAAUCUGUACAACAAAUGUUAAACUUUACUCAUUCCUUGAUUUCAAAAUGAGAAGGGAGGCGCUAUUUAUAUUAUCCUUUCCACUUUUUCAUAUUAUCAUUGGUAUUAUGGCCUUUCUCAGCGGUACAUAAGAGGAAUCUGAUUAUUUUAACUGUUUUUCCAUGAUCAUUGAAAUGUCUGGCUUAAAAAUGUUUUCUCCCCCCCCCCCCUUUUUUUUUUUGCAACCAGCCUCGCACUCAUAUAGAUAAUCAAUUUUUUGAAACCGACUUGCUAAGGAAACGAACUGUAGCCCAUAUUAAAAUUUUGUUUAAUUUCGAUUUUGGCGGGUAGCUAUAGCGGAUAGACGAAAAAAACUUGCCGAGUUGUGAGGAAGCGGUCGUUGGUGCGUGCGCACAUCCCGUCACGGAGCGUUUUUCCGCCUUGCUACUCCACAACGGUAGGCAAUUGUGGCGGCACUGUGGUGAUAAAUUAACUUCCUUGUAUACCCCGCAAUACGCACGUGGGAAUAACUUCUCUAAGCGGACGGACCAUCUUGCCAGCGUCCGUCCGUUUCUUUGCCCUUUUGUUACGUCGACUUCCCAUUUUUUUUAAAAAACAAUUAUCCUAUCAUUAAAAAAAAUAUAUAUAUAAAUGUUUUAGGUUAAUCGAUCCAAGUUUUUUUUUUUGGAAGCUUGGUAUUCGAAGUGUGGCGUCGUUCGCUGGGCGACGGCCGCCAUGUUGUCCCUCCCUCCCGCUCCAAACAUUCUUGCGGCGUGAAACCCGAGCUCCCGCUCAAGGCCAGAUGGCAGGCAGCGGUGGUGGUGGUAUAGCUCGCAGUUUGUCUUGGGCAAAUGUCAUCAUCCUGUGAUAUUUUCUUCAGCACCCACCAUCAGGGGGGCCCGCCCCCCUUAUCCCACGAUGUCACUCACCACCGCAUUCUUGGGCAAAUUCCUUCUCCCUCUCCACGGACCUUGGCGCCAUCCGUUCCUUUCCUCCUUCGGGUUUCUUCCUCCUUUUCGCUACUCUUGUAGGAGGAUGAUUGCCUUAGAAUGACGCUGCUGAGUAUGUUGUCAUAACUGUGGUAUUAAAAAAAAAAAAACACUUUUGAUUCUCUGUCGUCUUGUCCAUAACGAAAGUGUGUAGACCAACACCUAUUAGUUUUCGUCUCAUUGUAGGUUUUGCCAACUAUUUUUUUAAAUUUAUUUUACAUCUUUCAGGUUGUGGGAACAAGAGAGCUACUUCUCUCUCGAAUUAUUUCAUCGUCAUUAGUGAAAAGCAAUCAAGUUAACACUCUCCCAAGUUAAAUAACACGAAUGUAUCGCUCGGCUCUUCCCGCCCAACAAGAAAGAAGGGAUGGGCGGACGACACGUGCGGUGGGUGCUGUUGGGUGCUAUUUGCGGCUCGGUGGUGCGUUCACCUCCGUCCUCCAUUGUUUGUAAACGUCACCACGGUUGGCUCCUUGCACAACCGGCGGUGGCGGCAAUCUUGUCGUGCCGUCGACCUCGCUCAUUUUAUGCCCUGCUGGAUGGCUUUACACAAAGUUAUGCCAAUAAAGGCCAACUAAUUAUCCUUGUAUGGAUUUGUAUAAAGUAUCCUAAAUUAGUCGGAAACAUACCUCGAAUUCUCACUGCUCUCUGGACUUUUAUACAAUAUGCCAGCUUGUGGAUCGCCAGGAAAGGUUGAGGCAAUAAGGUGAUUGUUUCAGGCAGCAGGAGGCCCGCAACAUCCUGGAGACACUGAAGGCGGUGUGGCCCAACCUCGACGAUGUCAACAGUGUGAUGGCCGUCAUGGGCCGCCUUAUCCACGAUCCAGGUACACUUGAACUCUGUAACGCUCGUAAAACAUUGGGAUGCUUUUUAUGUAAUGUAAUGACCGUUUAUUAGGUAUUUUAGUUGGGAAAAUGUACUAACUUGUGCUACAGUGACAUAGGUUUCUUUUUAAUUUCAAAAUUUUUAGGGAAAAUAAUUGUUCUCAUUGAAAUAGCAGUUUUCCUUCAUUCAAUCCCACUGUUCCUUUCCUUAGGAACAUUGUGACAGUUUCGGCUUCCAGGAAUGGUGGUGGCACGUGUGUUCUAAAUUUGGGGAGACCCAGAACGUGCAGCUGUCGCGUGCUCGCCCAGCUGCGAGAGGGGAGGGGGGGGGGGUUCCGCUAACAAGUAUUGUUCCCCCCCUCACCUCCAAUCCUUUGGUUGGGUAGGGAGGGAUCAGUUGUUUAAUAAUAUAUAUGUAUAAAAAAAAAAGCGGCGGAGGGAAUACACACGCGCGUGUACCGGUAGAAAGAAGGGCGGGGAAGGUCGGCAUUUGUUUCCGCCUUAAGCUGUGGUUUUGUGACGUGACCUUGCCGAUCUCUCUCUCUCAAUCCAGGUAAUACGGUCACAUUACGUAACGGCACGUACCCCCCCACCCCCCCCCCCCCCCACCCCCCCCCCCCCCCCCCCCCCCCCCACCACCACCCAAACCCCCCCCCACCAACAAAUUAAAUAAAUAAGCGUCGUUAGGUUGGCUGCCGUCGGCACGCUUGACCUUGUUCCUUCCCCACCCCAACCUCCUGGAACCUUGGCUGUUUCCUCACUGAGCAGUUUGAAACAAUUGUUUUGUAAACUUUGGACCAUCUGUGGGUGCCAUGAUGUUAUUUCUACAUAAAAAGAAGCAGUUGACACAAUAGGUUGGAGUUCCACAAACACUGAAACAAAGCUUGGUGUCACUGAGUAACAUCACUAGCAAAUGGCAUUUAGAAUUAAGGCAGUUUAUUAUCAAAUAGAAGAUGGCUACACAUAUGCAUAUAUGGUAUUUGAUUGCCAUUGGUUACUUUCAUCUCCACUGCCAUCUGGCACCUCUCAACAGUAUCACUCUUUUUGAUGUUCACGUAUGCCCAAUGUUUUCUUAGCAACUUUUGGAGUAUCCUGGCAAAUGAUAUUUACAAUAUUUUACAAUAAUUGAUAUAAUUCUCAGCCUGCAACCCCAAGACAUUAUUGACUGUAUUGACUCAUCCAUUGAUGAACUCUACUCUUCCCCGGCAAAUAUCAUCAAAAGUCUCAAGCUUUAGAAGCUUGAUAUCUUAGUGUGAUUGAGUGGAGAUAAGAAAGAAGAAUAAUUGAAAUAUAUUUCCACCUGAUUAGUUUUUCUGCUUUCUUGAUAGGUUCCCCUCCAGAUCUUGUCGCACUUUUAUUCGGAUGUUGUCCUGCAUUCUCUAAAGAAUAUACAGUAAUACCUGGAUGCAUCUUGAUUGAGUUAUUUCCUGCAUAUCUUACUGCUAUUUGGCAUCUUUCACUCUAACUACAAUAUGAUUAAAUUGAACGAUCAACUAGAUUUAAGAUUUGCUAUUUUUGGAUUUCAAUAGAUAUAUUUACAUAUCGUUUGGUUUUCUUUAUUCCCAGUGGAUACUUGAGGCAUCUUGUUACAGGAUGAUGAUCCGAAGCUUUCUUGAAAACUUUUGUUGUAAAUAUAAAGCAAAUUGUGUCAUUAUAAUCUUGUUUUUAAAAUGUAGUUAUAAUUAUAUGCGACUUUGCUCUGUCCUGCAUCUUUCACAUGAUAAUUUCUGUAAUAAUAGUUUCAACAGCUUCUCUGUGAUAUUACAUUUUUGUUUGGAAAUUUGUGUGCUUGAUUUGGAUAGGUUUGACUUCUCUUUUCUCUAGCUCAAUUAAAAUGAAAUAGGCUAGCACCUGAUUAUUUAGUUAUCAAAAAAUCUAUUACUAAAUAGGUAAAGCUAAGGAUAUUGUAGCGGGAGAUAUGCCAAUAUUGAGAUACUUUUUAACAAUUCCCACCGUGCAAGUGUAGUGGGCAAGAGCAUCCACGGAGGAGGUCUGCCAAUGUAAACAGAUAUUUUAUCUUAUCAUAGUUUACAUUAGAGGGGCUCUUGCCUCAGCUGCAGUGUGUGGGCAGAGACCAAUGUGAGGGUAGAGCUCAUCAACCAAAUCCCCCACGUGGCUGUCUUCUGCCACCAGCGGGAGAACAUUCUGGGGCCCUUGAUACGCCAGCACCUCAUCCCACUCCUGGUUAAUGUCUUCUCGGACGACCUGCCCCUCGGUAACUAUUUCUACCACCUACCUACCUACCUACCUACCUAUCUAUCUGUGUUUUACCAUAAUACUAGGGCUAGCAUUCUUUUUUCUUGAAUGGUGCUGAGGGGACUGGUGCUACUUCAUAAUACAGAUUUAGAUGCCAAUUUGGAUUUCAGAUAUGGAGUGGCAAGAUAGGUUGUUAUAUUGCUACCAUCCUACAAGACUAGUAAUGGUAGCAUUGCUGGUACUGAAGCUUUGCAUGUAAAUUACUUGUUAGGGAAUUAAAUGGAGUAAUGGUUGCUUAUUACAUAGUUGACUUUGUGCUGUGUAGGUGAGGAAGUCUAGUCACAAUGCAUUCCUCCUGCUGUUGGAACAAGGGCUGGUGCACAAGAGUAAGUCUAGUUGGUGUUUGUUCUCUGUCACCUAUGGCUAACUUAUUGCCUCAGCCAUGUUGGAGGAGUGGCUCUGUCCCAUGGUGGCCAUGCAGGCUGGGGAGGAGACCAUAGAAGAGGACAGGCGCCUCGAAGCUCUUCUGGUAAGUCUCGGCCUUUUUUUUUUUUGCUUCUGUUGCCAAUUCUUGUAUAUAUUUGCUACUUCUGCUGUGUAACUUGGUUGGUUUCCAACUGGGUUGAUGCUGGAGACCUCGCCGUGAAAGACAUGGGUAGUGAGAUGUGUGGCCGACCCCUUCAUCUCACUAUCUUGUCUUUGACGGGGAGUCCGGCGACCUACGGUCUUGGCAGUAGAGUGUGGCGGGCCGUCAAAGGGGCUGUGAGAUGCGUUUUAUGCUUGCCAUAUCACAGCCACUUUUGAUGAGCCCGCUGCUCCUAUCCUCAUCAACGCUGUCGUCCGCCCCGACCACCAGAGCCAGGAGGGUCCUCACUCACAAAGUGGCGGUGACAUGUCAUGCCGUGCAAUCAUAUCACAGCCAUCUUUGAUGAGUGAGGCCCCUUUCCUGAUGUCUUCCCUACGCGACAGUGCUCCCGAGCAUGAUCGUCAAAGUGGCUGAUGAUGUGUUGCGACCCAAUCGUAUCACAGCCAGCUUUGAUGAACACCCUCAGGGGCUAAGGACUCCUCAGCUACAAGGUAUUUCUCUCUCUGUGCUCGCCUCCCACCUGAACCUUUCUUUAGAAUCUGUGCCAGUUGUGCUUAUCCCUAGUAGGAUGAGGUUGUACAGUAAUAAAGCCAUCUCAUCCUGAUUGUGCAACUAAAAGUUGCUGAUAUGUCACAAUAAAUACCACCUAAUAGUUGAUUUUUAUCAUUAUUCUAGAUAUGCCCAUAUACCUUUUUUUUUUGCUUAUUCCUAGUACACGGGGGUACAGGCCAUGAUAAUCAUGGUGGGUAGUUAGUGACUGCUUUUACUGUAAGCGCCCCACAUGUCUACACAUGUGAAAAGCAGUUCGACUUUGCACUUACAAAUGUGCCAGAGCCCCCGUUUGAUUACUUGCACUCGCUGGUGGGGUUGGACUUUUGCAAGAAUCGGGGGAGCCAUUGGAGCAUUUUUUUUUUAACAGAAAAAGUGUCUAAUGUGGGAAUCGAACCUGGGUCGUAGUGGUCGAAAACCAAACGGUUUAUCCAAUAUACCUUUUCUUGAUUAAUCAAGCAACUUCAAAUACACAAUUUCAAUCUUUUGGCCCUCAUCAGCGUUGUACAGGCUGUACCUUAAUGACCAAAAAAACUGGUCUUUUAGACUUGGUAAAAAAAAAUCAAGGAAUGGGUAUUUGUCAUUAAGUGUGUGAGAAUGCCAAACCAUAGUGAAACAAAAAAAAAAGUGAAAUUGUACUUGGAAUCAGGUUAAUACAUUUUAAGAAAAGUAUCUUCUGAUGGUGCAAACUGUUGUUGAUGGCUUUCACAAUCUGUCGGAUCAAAUAUCAACUUAUCUUUGAUUUUUUUUAAAUAAUUGCAGAGUUGGCAAAAUAAAGAGAUGUCUUAAUCUGGUCCAGUACAAUUUCACUAUUUUUCAUAUACUUUAUUAAAGUCUCAUUAUACCACUUGGCAUUAGCACAAUAGAGAGGUUGCCAUCUAUUUCAGUCUUUCACAAUAUAUUAAUAUUGAAUAAUACAUCUCUCUCAGCAGCACACUUAGAUCACAAAAUACUGAUUAUAUCUAUAGAAUAUUAUAACUGGGAGCUAUAGUAGGUAGUAGCUGCUUCUUGGACACUUGUAAAUUGUGUUUUUUUUUUUUGCUUAUCCCUAGUAACACGUGGCCAGGCCAUGAUAAUCAUGGUGGGUAGAGGUUAAUGACUGCUUUUACUGUAAGUGCACCACAUGUCUACACAUAUCUACGCUGGUGGGGUUGGACUUUUGCAAGAAUCGGGGGCCAUUGGAGCAUUUUUUUUAUAAAAUCGGGAAAAAAAGUGUCCAAUGCGGGAAUCGAACCUGUGUCGUAGUGGUCGAAAACCAAACGGUGUAACCAGCUUUCCACCGACCCCCUUGUAAAUUGUGUGGCUCGCAUCAGUGUACAUUGCAGAGAAGGUAUUGAUCAAUUUUCAACCUAAUUAUUUCCCUUCCCCAAUUGGAUCUUAGAACUUGACUGUUUUGGCAGAUAUGGAGUGUUUUGUAACUAUUUGUAGUUAAUAAAGCCUAUGGUUUGUGUGAUUAAUAAAGUAAAGAUGGAAACUUGGUGUGGGGAGGACAAGACUUGGUUCAAAGUUGUAUACAACAAAACUUGUUGUAUCUACAAUUUAAAAAUUUUCAACAUCUUAGUAUUCCUUUGCAAUCAAAAAGUUAAUUAUUUCAUCAAACUCUUAAUUACCUUGUUUGGAUUUAAUUUCAUUUCCACGCUAUAAUGGUUAGUAGGAGAGGAACUUACUGUCUCAAUUCUUCUCUUAGUCUGAAGGUAUAUUGUUUCCCCCGGUUUUUAUAUGCAGAAUAAUUAUCUCAUUUUAAAACCAAGUUAAUGGCCGUUUUUAUUGAUUGACACCAAGUUGGGUGUUGAAUGAGAUCUCAGCCAUUCUUCAGCCACACUCUGGGGCAAAGUAACAGCUAGCUUUCCACUGACUGCUGUCAUGAUUCAUAUUUUGGGACUGUUGAUUUAGCUGAUCAGUUUUUUUUUUUGUGUUUUCUGUGAACUCUCAGCAUAUGCAAAGAGAGUUUUACAGAUAUUUAUGGCUUUGUCACCGACCUUAAUCUGCUAGUUUCACAAAAAAGUCAAUUUCUGUAUUAUCUAAUUUUGGGGUAACAAUAUUUAAGUCCAUUGAAUAAAAUUCAUGGAUCCUGAACCAACAAGGUAUUCUAGUUAUAAAUGUAAUAUGAUUCUAGAAAUGAUCUUUUAUUUUAAAGAAGCAAUCUCAUUGAAUAGUGCCAUCCACUUACAUAGAGGUGGGUGAUAAAUAUUUACCCAUGGGCAAUCAGGAGUUGUGUUCACAAUUUGAGCUUCAGAUAUAAUUCCUAUUAAAAAAAAACUUGCUUAUAUUGUGAUAACCAUUUAUUUGGUAGAUAAUAUAAUACAUAAUAUGAAAUUGACACUAGUUGAAAGGGAGCCAUCUGGGCACAAGGAUAGCUUGAAAUCUUUGCCUUUUAACUAUUCUAAACCUAUCUGUGUUGCGCUGACUGACAUUACUGUGUCUCUAGUUGUUGUGCAAGGUUGCCUCGUUAGUUGGGCCAGAUUUGACAGAGAAGUUCUUUCUGUCACAAUUCCUCCGUCUCUGCAGCCACCCCUCGCCUGCCAUGCGCAAAGCCUGUGCAAUCAAGAUGGCUGAAAUGUGCAAUGUGAUGGGUACUGCGCUGGUUGAGUCCCAUCUGGUGAGUUAUCCUUCUCUCUCCGCUGGAAAUAUUCUAAACAGAUUCAUUGCAGCUUCCAAAGUUCCUAGAGCUCUGCAGAGACAAUGAAUGGGAGAUCCGCCGCUGUUGUGCCGAAGACUUCAUGGAGAUCUCGUGGGUGUGCCAGCUCUCCACACGUCAUCAUACUCUAGCUCCACUCUUCCUGGAGCUGCUCUCAGACACAGACUAUGUGAGUACCAUUCCUGUCACCCCACAAUGCACUUACUAGGUUGGUUUGUUGCCUUUUAACAAAAUCUAAAUUGGUAUUUUAUUGUAAAAAGUCAAAUUUUUGUCUUCAGGUUAAGUCUGCAGCCUACCAAUCUUUGGGGCCUUUCAUUUCCACAUUUGUUGAUCCCCUGAGCUUCAGCCCACCCCCACUGCCACCUUCUGAGGAAGGAGACCACUCUCUCAUGGAGCUCCAGAAACUUCAGGAGCUCUGUGCGGAGGUCACCCAAGCCCAGCAGUCUUCCAACAUGAACCAACUGCCAGAUGAGGCCUUCAACACAUUCCAGUACUGGAGGGAGCCCUUGCCAGAGGUAGACCCGUCCAUGCUGGUGGGCGGGAAGCCCAACGUGUGCAUAGUCAGGCCCAUGAGAAAAUCCUCUCCGCGGGAGGUGAGGGAGGCCAUGGAGCUGAUCACCAGGUUGGAGGACUUCUCCCUCACCCCCACCAUUGGUUACCAUCACAUGAACCCAGUAGAGUUGAGCGACAAGCUGCUGCCUUACUUCGAGGAGCUCGGCAAAAUUAUCAAUGAUGGGGACCUGGGUAGAAGUCCCACUCAGGUGAGUUUAUUCUACCCCCACUGAAUCCUCUAGUUGCUGCUAGGAAGUCAGCACAAUUGGAUCUAUUACAUGGGAUGUGUCUCCAGACAUUGGCUGUUGUUACAAUAACCAAGUAGGAUAAUGCUAGCACAUAAAUUAAUAAUAAGACUCAUGUUAAAAUAGCAAAACCAGUGCUAAGAUGAAUUUUAAUAAUUAAAUGAUUUUCAGUCUUCUAUAUAGGAGCUGUAGAGGAACAAAACUCUUAAAAAGGUUAUGAACCUUUUCAAAGUACACUCAGGGGAAAAACUUAAGGAAGUGGAAAGUCUUUGAUGUCAACAGUUUUUUGAAGGAGACAGAUGCAAUUUUGUUCACACUUGGUUAUUCCGUGUCUCCUCAAUAAAGAUGUGUGAAUGUGUAUCUUUAAGAGAUAUUGUCAGAAUCCCAAUAUACAUGGUAAAAAGGUAAAACUUUCUCAAGUUUUGUCCAUGAUUGUAAAUUGAUUAAUUGCAUUUUUAGUUCUUAUUUUAGAUUUUGAUACACUUAUAUAGCAACUUAUACAAAGUUUGUUGUUGCAUUCUGCAAGAGUAUAAACAAGCCCCUGAUGCAGGGUGUAGUGCCUCGCCAACUCCUGGAGCACUAUAUCAGCAUGGCAGGAGAGGCCGGAGGUUUGUCAGGCCAAUGUGCCUAUGGCCUGCCAGCUGUGGCGCUCACCCUGCGGCAAGAGGGUUGGGCCUGUCUACGUGUGACCUGGCUAACCCUAGUGGAAGAUGUCCAAUGGCGAGUGCGACGGUCCCUCGCUGCAUCCAUCCACCAUCUAGCUGUGAUCCUGGGCCCUGCCCUAGCCUCAACCGACCUCAUGCCGGCGUUCUGGGUGUUCCUGAACGACCUGGAUGAGGUGCGCAGUGCCCUCCUGGGCCACCUGCACCAUUUCCUCAGGGCCCUGUCUCCAGAAGACAGACAUACCGUCCUCACUCACCUCUCCAUCUUCCUCAGGAUGGAGAACCGCAAUAACUGGAGAUACCGCAUGGCUCUGGCACAGUAAGUGUAGUGGGCAACUCUUGUUUAAAUAACUACAGUAGCAAAUUUCAGCUGCCAUUCCCUCAUCCAAUAUAUCCUAUUAGCACAUAUUAUAUAUCAUUUUGUAAGAAUAAUAGAGAAAGCUACUCGGAGCAUGUGUCAUGGACAGAUAAAAAAAGACAAAUAUUUCAAUCUUAAUGAAAUUAAUUUUAUUAGAUGCUAGAAUGCCCAAAUAUGUAAAUACUUUGGAUACAUAAUGAGAGCAAAUUAUUUAGAAAUGCAAUGAACAACUGGCUAGGAGUCAAGAAAGCUACCUGAAGAUCAUUAGAUAAGCUGAGAGUUAUGAUCACCAAAA